GUCCACGCCGUAAACGAUGGGUGCUAGGUGUGGGGGGUGUCGACUCCCUCCGUGCCGAAGCUAACGCAUUAAGCACCCCGCCUGGGGGAGUACGGCCGCAAGGCUAAAACUCAAAGGAAUUGACGGGGGCCCGCACAAGCAGCGGAGCAUGUGGUUUAAUUGGACGCGACGCCAAGAACCUUACCAAGGCUUGACAUGGUCGGGAAAAACGUGGAAACACGUUCCUCCUUCGGGACUCGAUCACAGGUGGUGCAUGGCUGUCGU
rnacentral:rRNA from 1 species